AUUGAACGCUGGCGGCAGGCUUAACACAUGCAAGUCGAACGAGUGGCGGACGGGUGAGUAAUGUCUGGGAACCUGCCCGAUGGAGGGGUAUAACUACUGGAAACGGUAGCUAAUACCGCAUACCAUCGGAUGUGCCCAGAUGGGAUUAGCUAGUAGGUGGGGUAACGGCUCACCUAGGCAACGAUCCCUAGCUGGUACGAGAGGAUGACCAGCAAAACUGGAACUGAGACACGGUCCAGACUCCUACGGGAGGCAGCAGUGGGGAAUAUUGAACAAUGGGGGGAAACCUGAUGCAGCCAUACCGCGUGUAUGAAGAAGUCCUUCGGGUUGUAAAGUACUUUCAGCAAGGAGGCGAUACUCGCAGAAGAAGCACCGGCUAACUCCGUGCCAGCAGCCGCGGUAAUAC
rnacentral:rRNA from 1 species